AUGACUUGAUGAGUGGCCCGGGACGUCUUCAAAUUUUCUUUGGUUUGGGCAAGGUCUUUCUGAAGGCACUCAUUGUCGUGAAGAGCAACUUUGAGACUACUUCUAUCUUUUGCCAAAGCAGACUUAAGCAGGGUAUUAUCUCUUCGAGCGGCUUUCUCUUCGGCUUCGGCCUCUUGGUAUUUGGGACGGAGGCGUCCGAAGACAGUGUUUGCCUGCGGAUGAUCAGUGUUAGUCUAUCAGUUCAAAAUUAAUGGGCCGAGAUGUAAAUGGAUAAGUUAAGCUUACUCUAGCUUGGUACUUCAUUCCCUCGUUGAUCAGGUCCAUGAUAGAGCUGUUGCUGAACCGGUGGUUGUCGGUAUUACGGACGAAGGAGUUGUAAGCUCAAAUGGAAAAUUCUCUUCUGAUUCUGGCCAGAGAGUGGGGGAUUCCGGGGCUUCGAGCUUGAAGUCCGAGGAGGUUGGUUGUCUUUUUCGAGCAAGUUUGGGUGAUCGCUCCACUUGUUCUUCGGGCUCUUCGUCAGAAACAACGAUUUCAACCGGGAUGAUUGGCGGAGGAUCGGUUUCUGUUAAAGGUACUUGUGGUUCUUCGGAGGCCGGAGAAUUUGCUUGGAUUUUCCUCUUUUUGGCGCGAAGGAUUCGGGUCCGUUUGUCAGAGGGCAUAUCGAGGAGGCACUCGAUGUGAGUUUGUGUGGGGGAAGUAUUCUUCACUCUUGAAGAAUUCUGAAGGAUUGGGAAUAGUUUUUAGUGGUUGAUUCUGACUGUGAGUAUCAACAGAUUUGGGAUUUGAACUCGGAGUCUCUUUUUUGCUAGAGCUCGAAUUGGGAAGAACAGUGGUAAUGGGGGUUAUGCGAAGUGGGGAACUUUGAUUAGUAUUCUGAGAAGUCAUUGUUAAUUAGUUGCAGAGAGAAAUUUGAAGAAGAAGAGGAGCAAGGAAUAUCCGAAUUUCGAAUUGAGUUGGUAAAACUGUCAGAUUUGGGAGAAAGCAGCUUUUAUACUAGAGUUCUCUUCAACUUUUCACGAGGUUCAAGGGCGGCUCAUUUAAUGCCAGCAGUGAUUGUGAAUUUGAAGAGGUAGCGUGCGGUUUUGGCCUUCAUUGUUAACCGGAGUGGGCUUCUCUAUUGGGCUUCCGGUUUCUAUUUGAAUUGUUGUUUGAGAUUUACCUAUUGGGCCUCGGUAAGUUGUAUCUUGGGCCUUUGUUGAUCUCAUUAUAAUUCCUUUUAUUCUGGACCGAUUCCACUUAUACUCUUUCAUUAAACCUCCUGUUUAAUAAAAGACUGGGGGGCAAUGUUGGGCCAUAAUACUUUAGACAUGUUGAGGUGGGUCUUGAAAGUAUUAGGCUGGUUCAUUGGAUCAGCCCAUUGGGUGGAUAUUAUCUUUAUUUUGGGGCCUAUGAAGUAUUGGGCUGUGACAGUGGGCCGAAUUACUAGAUGAGUAUGGUUCCACUUGGGCUUUGACCGGUGUAGAUUGGGGAUAGAACUUUGACUGUCAUCUCUGCAUUGUACUUAAUGAGGAUUGGACAGGACUUAGUCGGCUAAAAGUUGUGGGCCCGAAAAGUCAGUUGCAUACAGGACAAACCGGACUUUGGAGAUAUAAAGCAAGGAUGGCACACCGUGAAAGGUAACUAAUUAAUUAUUGCUCUCAAGUCACUAGAUAUUUAUUCCUCCAUUGUUAACCUUGUGAUCGCCUGUACUGACUCUCACGCCGGAGCUAUCCCCCGACGGUCCAAGCCGUCAAGCUUUUGGUGUUGACUGUGUUUAUUGUGCAGGAUCAGAACGUCUUACGUGAUUGAGACGUGGCAGAAGAUCUUGACGUUAACAGGCCCAAAAAAGGUUAUGUUUGAAUUACGCCCAAAUAGCUGUCAAGUAAACUACAAUCAUGAUUAAAAGUAAAUAACAAAUUGAAAGAUCAAGGUGUGUCUCGGAUUGAAGAAAACAAAGGGAUGAAUAGCAGUAAAAUAGAAACGGAGAUACAAUCAAAGCAUAAAAUGUAAAGUGAUGAUCCAACAAACAGAACAGUAAUGGAAUGCCGAUUGGAAAUAUACAUAAGUAGGCUUUCGUUCGAAUCAGCUUAUAACUGAC
rnacentral:lncRNA from 1 species